UUCUUAUUCCAUAAGUUUUGUGAAAGCCCCCAAGUAACUCCAGGAGAACCUAUCUAAUAAAAAUGUUUAGUGAUCCUAGCACUUGGAAGAUGGGACAGGAGAAUGAGGAAGUUAAGGCCAUCUUUUACUACAGUGUGACUUAAAGGUAGCCUGGGCUAGAUGAGAUGCUACCUCAAAAAACCAAAAAGUUUGGUAAGAAGAAAUCUGGGGCCUUGGCCUUCACAGACUCGCUAUCUCGUUUUUAUCACACUCUCAUUUCCUUUGUGUUCGUUUACAGUCAUGCCUUUCCUUGAUGUGCAGAAAAGGCUGGGCAUUAGCCUAGAUCGACACUUUAUAUUCCUAAGUGCUGAGCAGCCUUACAAGAAUGCCGCUCGAUGCCACGCAUUUGAAAAGGAGUGGAUAGAAUGCGCACAUG
rnacentral:lncRNA from 1 species